rnacentral:lncRNA from 1 species
UUGUUGUAUAAAUUUACUUUGCGCAUAUAUCAAUUUUAAUGACUUUUAUUUAAAUAGAUUUAACUAUUAAAUUAUUUUUUAUAUAACUUUUAUUUAAUUAAUAAUUAGAUUUAUAAAACUAUAUAAAACUAUUAAAAAAAUAAAAUUUAUUAUAAAAUUAUUUUUAUGUCCGUAGCAUCGCGCAGAUAUUUCAGUAGUUAGGCACUAAUGUGGUGACUUACUCAUCACUGAAUAAACCCAAAAUAUUGGGGGCAAAUUAUAAUUUGUUAAAACCAGUUAUCUAAGAUAACCAUUAAGAGGGUGUAACUAUUGUUACCUUUUUACCUCCACUAAUGUAAUAAUAAAAUAUUAUUAAUUAUUAUACACUAAUUUUAUUUUAUUUAUUAAUUAACUAGAUAAAUAAUUAACCACUUGAUUUAAUAGAUAUUUAAUUAACUAUUUAAGUAAUUAAUUUAUUAUUUAUAAUUAAUUAGCUAAUUAAAAAAUGGCCAAUUUGCAUAAAAAAUUCACAAGUUUUGCGUUUUUACAAAACUGGGCAACUUUUUCAAUUUUGCAGAUUCGGGUUGGAUUUUUCGCCAUCAGACGAAAAUAUCCUUAUUUCUUUUCUUUCUCUUUCUUUUUUUUUAUUCGUUAUUUUUUUCUUCCACCACCUCCUCCUUCGCAUUGCCCUCCCCAUCGCCUCCUUCUCCUCCGACGAACCCACCUCCUCCUUCUGCCGCCUCUCCCUCUCCCAAGACGACGCCCCCACCUCCUCCCCCAGAUCCAACCCUCACCCCCACGGCGCCAAUCUCGAAGACUCCCGCGGCGGCGGCGGCAGAGGAAGAGGCCGGGGUUCCCUCUCCGCCGACCACUUCUCCUCCGACCUCCUCUGCGCCGACGCCGUCGCCGACCUCACGGAGAUCGCCAGCCGCAUGAUUCGCGCUGGGUAUGUCCAGGAGCUAAGCCAGAUGUACAUCGCCGUCUGCCACGAUGCCAUCGCGGAGACCCUCGUCGCCCUCGGUGUCGACAAGAUGAGCAUCGAGGAGGUCCAGAGGAUCGAGUGGAGCAUCCUCGACUCCAAGAUGAAGAAAUGGAUCCAUGCCCUCAAGAUCGCCGUCCGAGUCAUACUCUUCGGCGAAGGAGAUGAGAGCGUCUAAAGAAUAUAAUUUUUUAAGGUGUAAAAAAUGGUGUAAUGGUGUAAAAAGGAAAAAAAAAAAGAGGAAGAGGAGGAGAAGGAGAAAUUGUGCAAUUUUGGGCAAAAUGGUGCAAAAUUGGGCGAAAUGGUGCAAUUUUGGGCGAAAUUUGCACAAUUUCUCCUCAUCUUCCUCCUCCUCUUCCUUCUUCCCCUCCGCUUCGCGUGCCGACGGCGCACUUGGGCCGACUCGACUACGACUAGUCCGGCAUGCUCGGCAUCCGGAUGCCCCUUACGGUGGUUGCCGAGAACGACAACCGCGCGGCCGUCGCGGGCUUCUCGGAUGUCGGCUUCACGCUCGGCUUUCACCGGAUCGACGUCGCGUUGCUGCGCGCCGCCCUGUUUACGGUCCCGCGCAAUAGCUUGUGGCCGCUGCAGUACGACAUGCAGGCGGCGCCGGUCCCGCUCGAUGCCGACGCUAUGCAAGCCAUGGACGCCGACGCUAUGUAGGCCAUGGACGCUAUGGGAGAGGGAGAGGCGACGGAAGGAGGAGGUGGGUUCGUCGGCAGAGGAGGAGGCGAUAGGGAGGAGGUGGCGGAGGAGGAGGUGGCGCGUCCUCGAGAAAAAAAUAACAAAGGAAAAAACAAAGAAGAGAGAGAAAAAAAAGAAAAGAGAGAAAGAAAAGGAAUAAGAGUAUUUUCGUCCGACAGCGAAAAAUCAGGCCCGAAUCUGUAAAAUUGAAAAAAGUGGUCCAAUUUUGCAAAACCUCAAAACUUGUGAAUUUUUUAUGCAAAUUGGCCAUAAAAAAUUAAUUAUUUAGUGUGUCUAUGUAAUAACUAAUAUUUAUAUUGAUUAAACUAAUUAAUACUUUGACUAAUCUAAUUAUUUUCUUAACUAAUUAUGUAACUAUUAAAUAAUUAACUAAUUGAUUAACUAAUUUGUUAAUUUAUUAAAUUACUUGUGGUUAAUUAAUUUAUUAAUUAAUAGCACUCAUUAUUAAUUAAUUAAUACUAAUUAAUUUAUUAAAUAAAUUUUAUGGUUAUCUAACCUUAGGGUUAGUUUGGUAUUGAGGACUAUGUGAUGUUAUUAGAUAAAAUGAAAUUAGGGAUAGAAUUAUAUAGGGAUAUGCUUUUGUGUUCUCCCGUGAUUGCAGAAAAUAUAUUAUAACCGACUCAUCAUGACAUACGGAACACAAUAUUACGUACGAAAAUAGGAUAUUUUCUCAUCGUACUUUCUCACCGCAUGUAAUGCAAUCUCUCCGCAAUUCCAAACGAAGCCUUACUCAUGAACCUUGCUUUUGAAGUAAUGAAUUUUAUACUCUAUUUACAAGGUUGUUUGUUUUCACCGUUCAUUUUAUGCAUUUAGAUUUUUUAGAUCACUAGAUAAAUAUAAACAAAAUUUUUGAAUUACUAAAGUCGACUUCUAGAUGGUUUUAAAUAUUCUAAAUCAAGUUAAUACUUUCAUUUUUAAAUGAAUAAUUUUUUUAUAAUUUACCGACCAUACCUAGUAUAGUUGAUCAAAAAUUUGACCGUUGGUAUCAGAGGUCCAAAGUUGAGAUCUUAGUUGCUUUAUUUUUUAAGUUGAUUUUAUUUUUUAAAAAAAAUUAAUGAAGCAGAUAGCACACUAGCUCAUUCCGAAAGAAAAAUUAAUAUCUUAGAAUUGUUUUUAAUGGACAUCAUUAUCGUUUUGGUAGAAUCUAGCAGAAAAGGCACUAAAAUCAUGAAAAUGAGGGGUUAAACCAUUAAAACAAAACUUUUAAAACUUUUAAACUUUAAACAUCCAUUUCAAAUUAUUCUAUCUACUUUAUAUAUGUUCUUUAGAUUCGCAACGCACUUUGCGUGCACCUUUUCCUUUCAGAGUUUCGUGUUUACUUUACCUUUCGCCUUAGAUUGGUUAAGCUGGUGUCACCUUGUUUUGCGUGAAUCUCUUUGCAAUAUUUUACUUAAAGCAUUAAUGAUUCCUUGCUUCCACCAUUUAUCUUCGAAAAUAAAAAAAAAAAUCCUCCACUUUUUUUAUUAAUAUUAAUUGUUUAAGCAUCAAUAUUUUUUGCUAAUUUUUUUGUGAAUCACAGAAGUAUAUACAUCUCUCUCUACAAGGGGAAAAAAAAAUUAUUAAAAUGGUAAACUCUUUUUAAGUAAUGAAUCAAGUUUUAAUGAGUGCAUCAUUUUUGUAAGCUCUGGAACUCUUAUCAAAGUUUUAUUUGACACCUAAUAUUUCACUGGCUAAAAAUACUAGAAAACCCCCUUUCUUUUUUAUUCUUUAUAUCCUCGUUUGUAAUACGGUUGUAAUACAGCUUUAAAUUAAGGAAUCGCGCCCCUGCUACCAAAUGGGUUGUGGGUUCAAGUUUUAAGAGAUUGUUUGGUCCGAAUUUUAUAGGUGCAGUUUGCAGAAGCUGAAUCAAAAUAGGUGUUUGAUCAGAAUAUAAGGCUGAUACUAUUGUUGUUCGUAGACUCUAAAAAUUAUAUUUAUUUAAUUUUUUAACAAUUUCGACUACUCAAGAGAGUUUGAUAGAAUAAUUGUAUGUCCUAUAAUAGAGAUUGGGGAAUGAUUCUAAAAGAGUAAUGAAAAAAAUAGCAAUUACAAUGGGGUGGGUAAUGCUUAAUAUGAAAAUUGUAAGGGAUAAAUAUGCCAAAAAAAUUAAUGCUCUCUCUCUCUCUCUUUUGCACAUAUUCCAUCUCUCUCUCUCUCUGGUGUUGAUUGUUGAAAGCCUGAACUGUAUAAAUGGGCCCUCAAGUCCUCAACAGCCAACAUUAAUAAUUUUUUUAUUAAUUUGUUUUAGUUAUUUUUUUUUUCUUUGACUUAUUCUAGGUUGUUAAAAACUUGAUGAUUUUUAUAUUUUACUAUUAGUAACUUUGGAUAAAAAGCUCCCAUAACAAACUUCUCUCUAAAAUUGUACCACCCUUCAGAAGAUAAAGAGUUAGUAUAACAAACCUCCAGAAGAAAGGCAUGCACCAAAUUAGGCCUCCGGAAAUUUCAUAACUAAUUUACCCAAAAUGUAUUUAAGUAGCUCGUUCGAGCGACAUAAAUUCUCACCCAAAUUACCGAUAGCAAAAGCAAGUUCAUUAAAGGUAACAAUCUGAACAUAGCAGGAUUAUAUCGCAGCAAGAGGUAUCUCAUUUUCGGCUUGCCAACAUAUACAAUCACUUGAAACUGAAACAGUUCAGGCCGGAAAAGCAAAUGCGUGCGUACAGGAGUAAUAUCUUCCAUCUUACAUUUCGACAAAGAAGAAAGUCGCAGCAACUGAUGAAGACUUGACGAGCACAUACAAUUUUAUGCUUCAAUAAAUCAACGAAAAUCACUUUGGCUGCUGUCGAUAGUCUGACCUCUUGUUUGAAGGUUCGCCUGCCAACUGAUGGUUCAUUUAUUUAUAAUGAAUUAUUUUCCAAAGUCAAAUUUUACAAGUUGUUCGGAACAUGAAAGCGAAAUUAUAAGUACUGUUAAAAAAAAAGAUUUUUUUUUUUUCCGCCAUGGCGAUAAGGACAGUAAUAUAUGACAAGUUAGAGUUGUUCUCGGCGACUACGGAGAGAACAUUAAUACUUAUCCAUUCAAAAAUAAACAAAAAAUAAAUAAAUGAAAAUUUUUUUAAUAUAUAUAUAUAUAUAUAUAUAUAUAUAUAUAUAUAUAUAUAUAUAUAUAUAUGUAUGUAUAUUUAUUUAUUUAUUUAUUUAUGAAGAGAGAUAAAUAUCCAUUGCUGAAACACGCAUGGUGCAUGACGAUAGUGGGGCCAUCCAACAUUUAUAUUCUUAGUACGAUUUAUUUAGCACAUAUUAAUUAGUCCACAGUGUUUAUUUAGCACGGAUUUCGGCGCAUUACUUUUCGGAUUGACUUCAAUUCCGCGGGAUGCUUAUACGGUGGAGGUUUACACCGUUAAUUUUUAGAAUUGAAGGAAUAAGUCUGUAAAGUAUUUCUGUAUUUCUUUUUGGGAAAACUUUAAAAACCCCCCUGUGGUUUUGUAAUUUCUCACUUUGCCCCCCUGUGGUUUAAAAUGUACCAAUUUGCCCCACUGUGGUUUCUUUUUUCUCUUUUUCUUAUCAAUUUCAUUAUUUUUUUCCCUUAAAUCAGUGAUAAAAUUAAAAUUAAAGGGUACUAAAGUGAAUAUUUGAUAAAUCUAGAUGGGUAUAUGAAGUUUUUUUAUAUAUAAUUUAAUGAAAUAUUAACGAAAAAACUACCGAAAAGAUAAAAACGAAACCACAGGGGGACAAUUUGAUACAUUUUAAACCACAGAGGGGCAAAGUGAGAAACUACGAAACCACAAGGGGGGUUUUUGAAGUUUUUCCUUUUUUUUUUUCUUGAGACAAAGCGCUGUAGAGAAAUUUUAUUUUUUGUUCUGUAGAUACAACUGAAAAAACUCAGCACAAAUUUACAAUAAACAUAUUUAUGUACUUGUCCUCUUAGCAAAAGACUUGAUUAACUAGUGAUAAGUGCAUCUUUUGUGAUGCCCAGUUGGACGUCUAAGUUAGUAUUAAAAUUGAUCACCAGCUGAAAAUAUAAAAUGAGUCUUAAUUAAGCCAUAGUUAUAUAGCGGAUAGAGAGUAACUUCGUAGAUGAUGACCGUUGUGGAUGGACUGCAGCUCUCUACAAGGUCGGUUAAAGGAUAGUGAGAUGAGUCUCACAUCAUUUGGUGCAUAUAAACGUGCUUAAGCCUGACGAGAAUCUCAGAGUUUAAAAAGGAAGGAAUGUGACACCCAUACGAUUUAGUGUUAGAAAUUAACCGGCACAUCAGAAAAACGCAGUAGAAAAUAGUUUUGCACUUUUAAAUUUUUUUCGAAAGCCAAAUACAUAUCGCAUAUGAAAACCGAAAACCAAUAAAUCAAAUCAUUGCCGGCGGAUCAUUCUUAUGUUACUAUGCAAAGUUUAAUCUAAACAAAAACUCUUUAUGUUUAGAGAUCUUACCGUAGACAAAGUAAGGUCGCUUGAUCUACUGUACAGUUGAAAUUGAAUAUGACAAAUUAGAAGUUCUUAUUAGCUGAGCACGUGGCCGGCCUCUAUGCGUAUCCACAUAGAAUCGAUGACCCGAUUGACCUUCGUCUCACGAACCAGAUGAGUCAGGAACCAUCUAGAUAGUGCUAGCAAUCCCUUCAUGAUCCACCAGUCGAUGAAGAGUAGAGAAAUUGAUCGGGAGAAACACGCGUGCAGGAGAAAAAUUGGAGAGAGAUUGAUGUUAUAUGUGUUGUCGGAUCGAAAAAUUGGAGAGAGAUUGAUGUUAUAUGUGUUGUCGGAUCGUUGGCGCUAACCAUUAAUCCCAAAAAGCUCGAGCUGUUGGAAAUACGCAACCAAUUCACUUAAAGUGUACAGAUAUAACGCUCACGGAUCUUGAUUGUGACUCGGCCCACCCAGUGGCCCACCCAGUGGCGUGAUGCUAGCCCAUUUAGGCUAACAAUUCCCCCUCCAUCACCUGAACAUAUUUGCAGCAUGCGGGAAUCGAAUCCGUGACCUCUCGUUCUGAUACCACUUGUCGGAUCGUUGGGUGCUAACCAUUAAUCAUAAAAGCUCGAGCUGUUAGAAAUACGCAACCAAUUCAUUUAAAGUGUACAGAUACGGCGCCUACGGAUCUCGAUUGUGACUCAGCCCACCCAGCCUCACGCCACUUCGAACAUGACUCGGCCCAUCUAGCCUCACGCCAUUUCGAAUAUAACUUGGUGUAAGGACUGAGAUUUUUACAGUGCAACUAAACUCUCUGUUGACGAUGUUUAUGUGUGUAAUUUAAUUACAUAAGCACUCGUCAAGUUUCAGGAGAAAAUUAGCUAAAACGGAGAAAUUACGCGAUUAUUAGUUUUCACUUAAGUGAAUAGUAACUNCGUUGCUACUGUAUUUACUUACCCAUACUGUUGUUUAUCUCUUCCUGAUCCGGUGAGUACUCCUCGCCUUCUUCGGCUUGCGGUACCCACUGGGAGGGGAGACAUGUUUACAUGUUCUCACCUCCCCCACUAUUUUUCAGGUAUCGCGGGCGGUGAGGGUUGAGACGAGACGUGAGAUACAUAGCGGUCGAUAGAGCCUCCGACCCAGGUUAUUUUGGUUAGUUAUCACCCUUAGUAUUUCUGUUGAUAGUUAGCUUAUAUGGUUCAGUAUUCAUUUACAUUUGAAAAUGUGGAUUUUCGUGAAUGUAAUAAACGGAUUUCUGGAUUUUGUAAAAUAAAAGGUUUUCUACCCCUCGUGGUAGCGUUUUUAACGAAUAAAGGUUUCCGUGUAGGAAACAAUUUUCAAAAGGAUUUUUCGUGGAUUUCUGUUUAAACAUUGAAUGUAAAACUGUGAUGUGUAUGGUGAAUGUAUGAACGUAUAGUUAUCCUUAUAUUCAUCUAGU